UACGAAGGGGGCUAGCGUUGCUCGGAAUCACUGGGCGUAAAGGGUGCGUAGGCGGGUCUUUAAGUCAGGGGUGAAAUCCUGGAGCUCAACUCCAGAACUGCCUUUGAUACUGAAGAUCUUGAGUUCGGGAGAGGUGAGUGGAACUGCGAGUGUAGAGGUGAAAUUCGUAGAUAUUCGCAAGAACACCAGUGGCGAAGGCGGCUCACUGGCCCGGUACUGACGCUGAGGCACGAAAGCGUGGGGAGCAAACGGG
rnacentral:rRNA from 1 species